rnacentral:rRNA from 1 species
UACAGAGGGGGCAAGCGUUGUUCGGAAUUACUGGGCGUAAAGGGCGCGUAGGCGGCCUGUUAAGUCGAACGUGAAAUCCCCGGGCUCAACCCGGGAACUGCGUCCGAUACUGGCAGGCUUGAAUUCGGGAGAGGGAUGUGGAAUUCCAGGUGUAGCGGUGAAAUGCGUAGAUAUCUGGAGGAACACCGGUGGCGAAGGCGGCAUCCUGGACCGAGAUCGACGCUGAGGCGCGAAAGCUAGGGGAGCAAACGGG